AAAUUGAAGAGUUUGAUCAUGGCUCAGAUUGAACGCUGGCGGCAGGCCUAACACAUGCAAGUCGAGCGGUAGCACAGAGAGCUUGCUCUCGGGUGACGAGCGGCGGACGGGUGAGUAAUGUCUGGGAAACUGCCUGAUGGAGGGGGAUAACUACUGGAAACGGUAGCUAAUACCGCAUAAUGUCGCAAGACCAAAGUGGGGGACCUUCGGGCCUCAUGCCAUCAGAUGUGCCCAGAUGGGAUUAGCUAGUAGGUGGGGUAAUGGCUCACCUAGGCGACGAUCCUAGCUGGUCUGAGAGGAUGACCAGCCACACUGGAACUGAGACACGGUCCAGACUCCUACGGGAGGCAGCAGUGGGGAAUAUUGCACAAUGGGCGCAAGCCUGAUGCAGCCAUGCCGCGUGUGUGAAGAAGGCCUUCGGGUUGUAAAGCACUUUCAGCGGGGAGGAAGGCGAUAAGGUUAAUAACCUUGGCGAUUGACGUUACCCGCAGAAGAAGCACCGGCUAACUCCGUGCCAGCAGCCGCGGUAAUACGGAGGGUGCAAGCGUUAAUCGGAAUUACUGGGCGUAAAGCGCACGCAGGCGGUCUGUCAAGUCGGAUGUGAAAUCCCCGGGCUCAACCUGGGAACUGCAUUCGAAACUGGCAGGCUAGAGUCUUGUAGAGGGGGGUAGAAUUCCAGGUGUAGCGGUGAAAUGCGUAGAGAUCUGGAGGAAUACCGGUGGCGAAGGCGGCCCCCUGGACAAAGACUGACGCUCAGGUGCGAAAGCGUGGGGAGCAAACAGGAUUAGAUACCCUGGUAGUCCACGCCGUAAACGAUGUCGAUUUGGAGGUUGUGCCCUUGAGGCGUGGCUUCCGGAGCUAACGCGUUAAAUCGACCGCCUGGGGAGUACGGCCGCAAGGUUAAAACUCAAAUGAAUUGACGGGGGCCCGCACAAGCGGUGGAGCAUGUGGUUUAAUUCGAUGCAACGCGAAGAACCUUACCUGGUCUUGACAUCCACAGAACUUAGCAGAGAUGCUUUGGUGCCUUCGGGAACUGUGAGACAGGUGCUGCAUGGCUGUCGUCAGCUCGUGUUGUGAAAUGUUGGGUUAAGUCCCGCAACGAGCGCAACCCUUAUCCUUUGUUGCCAGCGGUUAGGCCGGGAACUCAAAGGAGACUGCCAGUGAUAAACUGGAGGAAGGUGGGGAUGACGUCAAGUCAUCAUGGCCCUUACGACCAGGGCUACACACGUGCUACAAUGGCAUAUACAAAGAGAAGCGACCUCGCGAGAGCAAGCGGACCUCAUAAAGUAUGUCGUAGUCCGGAUUGGAGUCUGCAACUCGACUCCAUGAAGUCGGAAUCGCUAGUAAUCGUAGAUCAGAAUGCUACGGUGAAUACGUUCCCGGGCCUUGUACACACCGCCCGUCACACCAUGGGAGUGGGUUGCAAAAGAAGUAGGUAGCUUAACCUUCGGGAGGGCGCUUACCACUUUGUGAUUCAUGACUGGGGUGAAGUCGUAACAAGGUAACCGUAGGGGAACCUGCGGUUGGAUCACCUCCUUACCUUAAAGAA
rnacentral:rRNA from 1 species